rnacentral:rRNA from 1 species
AUGACACUCCCAGUUCUAUUUCAGAGGCCUAUGCAUCUGAAGAUGCUGACUACUGGAAGGAAGCGGUUCGUAGAUGCAAAUGGGUAUUCAAGAAGAAGCUUAGGCCUGAUGGUACUAUUGAAAAGUACAAGGCUCGGCUCGUGGCUAAGGGUUAUACCCAAAAGGAAGGUGAAGACUUCUUUGAUACUUACUCACCUGUGUCUUCUCGUUCAUCAAAUGGAUGUUAAGACUGCUUUCCUAAAUGGAGAGUUGGACGAGGAAAUUUAUAUGGAACAACCAGAUGGGUUUGUACUAGAUGGUCAGGAAAGGAAAGUGUGCAAGUUGCUGAAGUCUUUGUAUGGACUCAAGCAAGCACCCAAACAGUGGCAUGAGAAGUUUGAAAAAACUUUAACAGUUGCAGGCUUUGUUGUAAACGAAGCUGACAAAUGUGUGUACUAUCGCUAUGGUGGGGGCGAGGGAGUUAUCCUUUGCUUGUAUGUUGACGACAUACUGAUUUUUGGAACAAGUCUGAAUGUUAUUAAGGAGGUCAAGGAUUUUCUAUCUCGCUAUUUUGAGGUGAAGGAUUUAGGAGUGGUUGAUGUCAUUCUGAACAUCAAGUUGUUGAGAGACGAUGAUGGUGGGACUACAUUGCUUCAAUCUCACUAUGUGGAAAAGAUCUUGAGUCGCUUUGGCUAUAGUGACUGCAAGCCCUCUCCAACACCAUAUGAUGCGAGUGUGUUACUUCGAAAGAAUCGAAGAAUUGCUAGAGAUCAAUUGAAAUAUUCUCAGAUUAUUGGCUCGCUUAUGUACUUAGCCAGUGCUACAAGACCUGACAUCUCUUUUGCUGUUAGCAAACUGAGUCGGUUUGUCUCAAAACCAGGAGAUGUGCAUUGA